rnacentral:rRNA from 1 species
AUGAACGCUGGCGGCGUGCUUCACACAUGCAAGUCGAACGAUGAAGCCCAGCUUGCUGGGUGGAUUAGUGGCGAACGGGUGAGUAACACGUGAGUAACCUGCCCUUAACUCUGGGAUAAGCCUGGGAAACUGGGUCUAAUACCGGAUAGGAGCGCCUACCGCAUGGUGGGUGUUGGAAAGAUUUAUCGGUUUUGGAUGGACUCGCGGCCUAUCAGCUUGUUGGUGAGGUAAUGGCUCACCAAGGCGACGACGGGUAGCCGGCCUGAGAGGGUGACCGGCCACACUGGGACUGAGACACGGCCCAGACUCCUACGGGAGGCAGCAGUGGGGAAUAUUGCACAAUGGGCGAAAGCCUGAUGCAGCGACGCCGCGUGAGGGAUGACGGCCUUCGGGUUGUAAACCUCUUUCAGUAGGGAAGAAGCGAAAGUGACGGUACCUGCAGAAGAAGCACCGGCUAACUACGUG